rnacentral:misc_RNA from 1 species
UUUCAUGGUGCCCGCGCGGGAGGCCUUCGGGCCUAGCGGGUUCCUGAGACCGGCGCUUCCUACCCUCGCACGGUUGCCUCUCUU